rnacentral:rRNA from 1 species
AUGGCCGGCGUCGUGGUGGUGUUCGACUUCGACAAGGCCAUCAUCGACGUCGACAGCGACAACUGGGUCGUCGACGGCCUCGGCGCCACGGAGCUCUUCGACAGCCUGCUGCCCACCAUGCCGUGGAACACCCUCAUCGACACCGUCAUGGGGGAGCUGCACGCGCAGGGCAGGACCCUCCGCGACGUCGCCGACGUGCUCCGGGCCGCGCCCAUCGACCCGCACGUCGUCGCCACCAUCCGGGCCGCCCACAGCCUCGGCUGCGACCUCAGGGUCCUCAGCGACGCCAACCGCUUCUUCAUCGAGACCGUCCUCGACCACCACGGCCUCCGGGGCUGCUUCUCCGAGAUCAACACCAACCCCAGCCGCGGCCAGGUGCUCGACCGCAUCCGCGCCUCCGCCGCGGUGGACGGCGCCAGGAAGCGCUUCAUCUACCUCGGCGACGGCCGCGGCGACUUCUGCCCGUCGCUGCGGCUCGCCAGGGACGACUUCAUGAUGCCGCGCAAGGGCUUCCCCGUGUGGGACCUCAUGUGCGAGAACCCUGGCCUGCUCCAGGCGGAGGUGCACCCGUGGAGCGACGGCAAGGACAUGGAGGAGACGCUGCUGCGGCUCAUCAGCCGGGUGCUCGUCGAGGAGAGCCAGCUGCUGCCGCUCGACUGCAAGCUCGAGUCGCUGCCGGUGGCCGUCCAGGACGGCAUGCCCAUGCCGCUCGUCGUCAAGAACUGA